CCGAGGCCGCGGGGCGGGGGCAGCUCCGGCCCGGUCCCGCAAGGAUCGCUCUGGCCCCGCUCUGCUGUCGGGAGCGACGGCGUCCGCACAGCCAGAGGGACGGAGCUGGCAGAGAGAUGACAUUCCUGCCUGGAGCAGAUACAACUGCAGUGUGAAUGGAGAGCUAUCCUCAUAUGGCUGCACGCACGCAAUGCUGAUGGGCAAGUUAAGUGUCCUUAGCCACCCCUUCUCUCUCUGCAGUAAAUUCACCUCUUGGGCACAAGGGUCCCGGAGUAUGAAGCUGCUGCUGCGCUAGUGCUGCUCCCAGCUGUGCUGCUGUCACUGUGCUGCUACAGUUGUGAGUGCUGAACACACGCCUUAAACAGCUAGAAUACUUCUGCAGCACGAGAAACUGCCAUUUUCACUCAGAGGACCUUAGGUCAGUCAUGAGCCUCCCAUUCCAUAAGCCCUGAGAGCCUCCAGGAAGCUGACACCAGUGAAGCACUGAGGACCAGAAGAGCCUGUGAGUAACCUGCUGGAAACCAGGGACUAUCCAUGGUGUGACCUUACCCCAACUCUACCCACGAUAGUGGUCUGUCAGUGCUGAUAACAUCUCAGCACCCAAAGAGCCCACUGCUCUGUUCAGACCUGGAUGGACGAAGUGCAAGGCAAGUUUGAGGGAUAAGUAUUGCAUUACUAUAAUGAAUAAAUUGUAGGCUAGCAGUUUUUGUUACAGAUUAAGUAGGAUAUAAAUGAUGUAACAUCCAUGGAAUCCCUUUUGUCUUCUCCUUUUAGUGUACUUUCCUCCUCAGUCUCUUUUUAUAUAAUCUCUGGUUUAUUAUAUGUAAUACUGGUGUAUUCAGCAGCUAAGUUUGCUUGCUGAUCACCAGAAACUCAGCUGCCACUAGUAGUUGGGAUGGUACCAGAAUUCCUGCAGGGAGAGCAACAGGGGAUUCUGCUGCUCUGAAAGGUCAGGGUACCUUAUGAAAACAGCAUCCAUGGAGUGUCGCUAGAGGCUGAUGACGUUGUUUUUUUGUACCAUGGAACACAUUAGGCUGGAAUUGUCUAAGAUCUUAAAACAAGGCAGUGACAGAGCUGGAAAAAACCUGGAGGCAGGUGCUAUUUGUAACAUAUUUCCUGCAAAUACUUCUUUAUUUGGACAGUUUUUGAUUGAUUAUUGCAAAUUUUAAAAAAUAAAAUAAAAAUUUCUGCAUUACCAAAUUUUUGGCAUCCACAUUUGAUUUUAAAUCCAAGGAGAUCUGUCAGUCUGAUGCUACGACUCUUCACUUUCUUAUGUAGCUUUUAAAUUUUCCUAGCUAUAGCUCCUAAUUUGUUGUAACUUACAUUCUGAAGAGAUAGGACAGACUAUAGUCCAAUAAAAGCAGGUAAUAAGAAGAUGUAAAAAUGUCUAAAAAAUGAACUAGAAAAAAUGUCUAAAGCAUGGUGGGAACUACUACCAUUAACUUCAUGCCUUUUUUAGUGCACCUUAUAUUCCUUUGUAUGUAAUGGUACAAGUUUAAAAUCCCUUGUAUUCCCUAAGACUGAGACAAUCUCUUGAGAUUUUGAGAUGCUUGAAGUAAUUAGCAAAACUUCCAGAUUUCAGUCCAGAACUUAUCUUUUGUACUUCUACAUAUACUUGAUGGCCUAAAACUUAAUCUGCCUUAUUCAUCACUUUCAUCUCCUACCCUUAGAAAUAGCUUAGCAAGAACAAAUAGUGAAUGUUCUACAGAAAUGGGUUUAAAGUAAUCUGUCUUCUCCUGUGCAUCCUGGAGUUACAGUACUGAUAGUGUAUAAAACACAACUCUAUUGUAAUAGAGGUAAUAGAUAAUACUGUGUGUUAGGCUUGUGGAUACAAAGUGAGGUUUAUAUUGUCCUCUAGCAAAUCAGAGAAUGGUAAGAUGUUUACUCAAAAGAGGUGCCUUGUCUCAUUUUUCCAUACCUGAUCUUACAACAGCAGUUAUGAAACUAAAAAUUACUGCUGUGGUUUUACACAAAAACAGAAAUUCUGCAAGAGCAAAUUUAUUGGAAUUUUGACCACUUUGUAGUCUUUGGAAUCUACAUUUUCCCCACCACUCAAAUGAUUUAAAAUUAUAAGUAGUUUUUGCAAAGCUGUUAACAUUAUUUUCUUAGCUCACCCAAAGUUUUUGCAAGACUUAUUAUCUAUGAUGAAUCACAUCUUUUAUUCAUAUAGUUAUAAAAGCAUUAAAGCUGUCAGGUAUAAUUUGCUGCUUUUUCUCCUUUUAGAUUCAGCAUGGUUUAUGAAAAUAAGCUAAUUUAAUAACUAGGGAAUCUAAGUUAUAAUCAAAUUUAUUAUAUUUACCAGACUUGAAUUUCAGAUGGGAUAACAUUAAAAAUGUGCUUGAAGAGGAAAGAGUAGAAUUGCCAGUGGGCAUUGAAUUAGCAACAUGAAAAAUACCUAAGAAUGUUGUGAUCAAGAGUGUUAUGGUGAGAGGAGGAAGAGGAAUUUUGUUUGUCUUUGUCUGUAGUUUUUACAUGUCACAAACUUAAAUGAUGGUUAGAACCUCAGGCCAAAGCUUCAAUUCAGGGGAAAGAGUGUUCUCUUUUAAGAUUCUUCAGUGACUUACAGUGUGCCUUUAUAAGGUAGCACUGCAACUCUGCCUACAAAUCUCUAAAUUUCUGUUAGAAAGGACAUGGUGCUGUUUAUGUGCAUGUGUGAGCACUUGCCACUGUACACAGCAUACCAGAAACAAUCCUGUGAGUUCUGCAUCCACUGAAUUUCUGCUGAAUUCUGGAUGAAAUUUGUGCUUGGAAGGCUUCUGGAUCAAGGUUUCAUGUCAGGAAGUGCUGAAUAAAAGGUCUGUUCAAAACCAAUCCAACAGAAACACAAAAAAUGAACUCUUUUCUUGUAGCUCAUGUCAGUCUCCUCUGAGUCUUGGUCCCCCAACCCUCUUAACCAAGUUUGUGGCACAGAUGUUGUCUUAUUUAUCAAUGUAUGUUAAGACAGCCUGUUAUUUUGGGAUUACAUAAAUUGCGUUUGUAUUGUGGAGAUUUUUAAUUCCUAGAGGUACUGCCUUUUGUGUAUGCAAUUUAAACUCAAGCAGUUUUUGUUUUUCCCAGGGACUUCUACAGACUUUCAGAUAUUUAAAAGCUGAAGUUACUUUUCUUUUUGGUUCAUCAUCUAUUAAAGACUGCUGGCUGUACUAAAACUGGCAAAAGAGUUAAACAAGGAUAAAAAAGAAGUGUUCCAGAGAACCAAUGUAUCAUAGAGUAUUCCUCUCCUGAAGGUACAUUGCCAUUUAGAAAUCACAGAGAAUAAUGGUCACACAAAUGCAAAGAAGAACAAUUUUUUAAAAAGGCCUGAAAUUUUGCUUAAUAUUGAUAGGCUCAAUUAAAGGAAGAGCUUGAAGUUUGAGAACUUCUAGUGACCCCUUUGUGCAAAGGGGAUUGUCUCUGUGUGGAUGUGGUGCAUCAUUGACAGGACGCAGUAAGUCAGCUGUUCAUCUGGCUCUGCUGUAGCUCUAACCCUCCGCAGCUGAGAAUGCUCAUGUCACAAGUGGGAGGAGAAGGCUAUUAGCCCCUGGCAUUUCAGAAGAUGUCUGCACAAUGAAGUCUCUACAAUGCAGAGCUCUUGGUGCUGAAGGUAGUUUUGUCAAAGAGGUUAUGGCAUAGGGGCCGUAGCUGGUAUGAAGAGACAGAGUCUUGCUCUAGAAUUCCACAUUCUUUUAGUCUCUGUUUUACAGAUAUGGGUCUUCAAGGAGUCUCAUAGUUUGAGGAUGACAAAUUUAGGAAAAAAAGUUGAAGAGAAUCUUAUUGUUACAGAAGAAGAACUAAAUGAACCUUUAGUAGAAAGGUAGGAACACGAUGAAAUGUCAAAUUUGCACACUGUAAAAUCUCUGGGUAUUAUUCUUAAGAGCAAAAUGCUAGAAUUUAGUGCUAAAUGCUCAGUGAUUCAGAGCUUGAGGACACAGUACAUGAGUAAGUAUUUCUUGCUUUAGUCAUCAAACAGCCACAUUAAAGCAUGACUAAGAAGAAAGGCAAGGCAGCAGUGAAAUGUGGAGCUGAUGAGAUAGCUCCAUACUGAGAGCAGAACUGGAGAUGAGAUCAAAAGAUGAUUGAAUUGAGUUGAUUGUACCUUGCUUAAAAAGUAAAGAAGCUGGGAAGGGUAAGAACCUUUCAAUAAUUAUAAGCAAUCAGAGGGAGAAAACAAACACCAGAAGACAAGAUGUAAAAACAGCUCACAUGACGCUGUAAUCUCAUAGUUUAUGCUGUCAGCAAAAAGAGAUUGGAUGAGUUUCUGCAGACUCAACAGUAAUUGCCAUGCAGCAGCAGUCAGUAUUAUUGAAAUGCUGGAACUGAUGGCAACCAACUAGGCUGUUGUGACUGGGAACAGACAUCCUCCGAAGAGCAUGAGACAGCAUUCUGCAGCAUGAGAAGUCCUUGCCUGUCAGUCUAAACUAGUGGAUUGUUGGGUGGACUGGGACCUGUAUCUCUCAUGAGAUAGGAAUUUUGCCUUUUUCUUCUUUAGUGUCUGUAAAUACCAGUUUGGUUCUCAGUGAGGAUGGAAGAGUCUUCUUUUUUGUAAAUGCAGCCUGACGGAUAUUUUCAGCAGUUACAUGUAUUCUAAAUAUCAGCAUUAGGAGGAGCAAAGGUGCUUGUGUUUGUGAAUAUAUUCAAGAAGGAGUACAAUGUCAGGAGCUUUUCCUCUCCAGCUCAGUGUGAAUUAGUGCUUUGUAAUGUUCUGGCCAUAACUGACCUUGAGUUGAGCUGUUUAUAUUUCCCCUUGAACAGCUCAUGCAGUUCUAUAUCAUCAAGCAGUUGAAACUGGAACCACUUGUGUGAAUCUUGCCUCAGGAGGUUUGAGGUUGCUGCUAAAUGUUUUUGGCCAGUGGACAGAAUUAGGAUUUGCAUUUGCAGCCUCACAGGGGUGGCUGAAGUCUUGAGGGUCAAAGCAGCCGCAGUUAGCCGUAAGUCCCUGAACACACAAUAGCUUUGAGCUGUAUGCCUGUGCUGCCCACCUAAAAAGUGUAGGGAAGGAGUCAGACUGCUCUGCGUUUAAUGGGAAAAGGAGUAAAGGCUGUGAUCUCUGCUCUUAAAUGCUGUUUAAAGAUGUAAAAACUAUAUAAUUUUACCUUCUGCUUGGGAAUAGCUUAUCUAAGGACUACUCUUGAAAGGAAUUUCUGGGAAGGCCAGUUACAGGCAGGAUUUAGUAUUACCUUUGAAAUGUUCUUUGUUUCAUGGUGUAUAUUGCAUGCACCAGCUUUUCUUCUCAGUUUGCUUGAGAAUCAUGUGAAUAAAAAGGUACCAUGAA